rnacentral:lncRNA from 1 species
CCUGGAGAAUUCUGCCAAACUUUCAGAGAGGAUUUAAUAUCUAUCCUUCUCAAGCUCCUCCAAAAAUUAGGGAAGAUGGAACACUUCCUAACGAAUUCUACAAGGCCAACAACACUCUAAUACCAAAGCCUGACAAAGACAACACAAAAAAGGAAAACUAUAGGCCAAUAUUGAUGAUGAACAUUGAUGCAAAAAUCCUCAACAAAAUUUUGGCAACCCGAAUUCAGUGAUAAAUCAAAAGCAUCAUAGAUCAUGAUCAAGUGGGAUUUAUACCAGGAACACAGGAAUGGUUCAUCAUCUGCAGAUCAAUCAAUUUGAUACACCACAUCAACAAAUUGAGGAAUAAAAACUACAUGAUCAUCUCAAUAGAUGCAGAGAAAGAAUUUGACAAGAUCCAAAGCGAUUUAUGACAAAAACUCUUAACAAAGUGGGGAUAGAAGGAAAUUACCUCAAUAAUAAAGGCCAUAUAUGACAAACCUACAGCCAACAUCAUACUCAAUGGGGAAAAACUGAACCCCAUCCUUCUGAGAACAGGAACAAGACAAGGAUGACCACUAUCACUACUCUUAUUCAACAUAGCACUGGGGGUUUUGACCAGAGCAAUUAGGCAAGAGAAAGGAAUAAAAGGAAUCCAAAUAGGCAGUGAAGAAGUGAAACUUUUGCUGUUUGCAGACGACAUGAUCUUAUAUAUAGAAAAUCCUAAAGAAUCCAUCAGAAAACUAUUAGAAAUAAUUAACAACUAUGGUAAAGUUUCCAGGUACAAAAUCAAUGUACAAAAAUCAGUUGCAUUUAGGUACUCUAAUAACUAGCUUCCAGAAAGAGAACUCAGGAAUACAAUCUCAUUUACAAUCACAACUAAAAUAAUAAAAUACCUAGGAAUAAAUUUAACCAAGGAGGUGAAGGACUUAUACAAUAAAAACUAUAAGACGUUACUGAAAGAAAUAGAUAAUGACAUAAAGAGAUGGAAAGGGAUUCCAUACACAUGGAUUAAAAGAACAAAGAUGGUUAAAAUGUCCAUGCUACCCAAAGAAAUCUACUGAUUCAAUGCAAUCCCAAUCAAAAUCCCAAUAACAUUCUUCACAGAAACAGAACAAAGAAUCCUAAAAUUCAUAUGGGGCAACCAAAGAGCCCGAAUUUUAAAUGCAAUGCUGAGUAAAAAGAACAAAGCUAGAGGCAUCAC